CCAGAUGGAGGAAUGGAUGUGAAGGCAUUUUGAAAAAUUAAAAGGAAAGAAAAAACAAGUGAACGGUUUACUUUUCAAAUGAAUGUUGUGGCCUACGACUGACUCAAUAAGCACCCCUCCCCACCCCGUGUUGAGGAUGAAUCUUGUGCUGAUCUGAGCAGGUUUUGGUUUUUUCAACAGGCUCUCACACAGUUCUGUGAAUGCCUGGGACAUGGAGAGACUGGUUGCCAGCAGGAAGAGAGGAAGCCCCUUCAUCAGCUUCCACCAAGAAUUUCAGGUUUACAAUUUACGCACUUAUAAUCCAAGGGGAAAAAAGAUGUAGGGAUGUUCAGCCUGUUUCCAGCCUGAAGCAGGAUCACUUUGUGGACGCCCAAGGGACCUCUGCAAAAGCCUGUCAGGCGUAGUCCCCUCUACCAGAUGAGCAGCCCACAGGUCAGCAGUUCCUCAGAGAUGCAGAUGUGAGGUGGAAAUCUGCUUGUAUCACCACAGUGCAUACUCGUGUCACAAAUUAUGGAUUUUUUAUACAAUGAACUUAUCUCCGUUAUCAAACUGAUUGUUUUGUACUGCUGCUGCAUGUAUAUGCAAAACCACUAGGCCCCAGAGGUGCUAACACAGAUGUGCUAAGCCAAGGGACUCGCUGAAAGUCAAGUUGGUCACAGCUGCAUGUGCCGUCCACAGAUUGUGUCCUCACAGUCAUGGAGAUGGGCAGAAGCCAUGGUUCACCUUUGGGACAUAGGAUGCAUGGAUUUUCUUCUCCAGAAGUGAUGGUGUGCGGUCAGGUAACAGCACAGUGAUGGCAAGGAUUUCUUCACGGUGUGUCUAUGGAGUUUACAAGGAUUUUAGAUACAGAAAACUAUCUGACAAGAAAAAAAAAAAACAGUAAAUACUUCACACAAGUUAUCUAGGUUUGCUUAUGACUUGCAUGGAUGUGGUCUUUAUUUGAAGCCUUUGUUUGAUGUCAGCAGGGACCGGAGCCUUUGGGUCCAGUUAAGACUAGCCAGCAAGGGAGUCACUCAGGCUUGUCCCUGGCCCAUGGUGUCAUCUGUACACUAUUCUUAUUCUAGACUGCAAUGCUUUUCUGCAGACGUUCAUGCUGCUCCGUGCCAAUGCCAGGGAUUUUAAGGCUCCUUUUGAAUUCACUCAGGAACAAUUUUUAAGGAGCAAAGGUCUUUAUAUCUAACCAGUUAAUAUAGUAUCAAGACAGAGACUUCUAAUUGAGCAAUAACUUCUAUGGAAAGGAAAAAACAUGAUAGCCGUAAGUUAUUUAUUCUUUUGAGGAAGCCCUAAGUUCCUCCAGGUAACCAACCGAAUCGUUCCAUUUAUGUGCCAAGCACAGUACUAGGUUCCCAGGCUCAAGGAUUUACAGCCUGGAGAACUACAGACUAUAGUUUUGGGGAAGCUCCCAGGGAUGUCCUUGAAGUGAUGUCUGUGGGGAAUUUGCAGUGGGGAGCAGGGAACACAGUGUUGACCGGUGGAUUGAGGAGGUCCCAGUCCCUUAGACCUUGACUUAGCCUGUCCAAGGCUCCUGUUCUCAUCAUGAGAAGGAAUUCAAGGACAGACACAACACACAGGAUAAGCAGUACAAGCAAUAAAGUUUAUUAUAGCAAAAGUACACUCUCACGAUGUGAGGGCAGGCAAGCUCCAGAGAGAGCUGCAUGCUGGGGUUUGGUUUGUGUCUUUUAUUGAUAGUUGUUAACAAGGGACUGGAAUAAUCAUUACUCGGGGCAGAGAUUUCUUGGAAGCAAGGUUUCCUGCUUUUUCUUCCUUAUUUGGUCAGAGGUUUCCGGCUGCCUUGGUCAGCCAUCUUGGGCCUGCGUGGUUUGAUCUGGCUUCUUGUGGCUUUAUUUUGGAAUGCUGCCAGGACAGGCCUCUGACUUUCCCGAUAGCUGGCCAUGACUUCCUCCCUGCUGGCCUCCAGGCAUCCGGUUAGAACCUAACUGCCUCUAACAACAUGAUGGAGAAAUGAGAGUUUAACUUAUUCCUGUCCUUCCUAGACAAAAAAAAAAAAAAAGCCCAGAAUAAAGGUUCAUGUAUACAUCCAUCAGACAGGGCCAGCUCUAUGCAGAGAGACAGGUUAUGGGACAAAAUGAAAGGAUUGUUGAGAAUUUUUUAAGACCAAAAUUGGUUUGGGUGGGGGGAGAUGACUACUUAUAUGUAUGGAAGGAUCAUAUGGACUUGAAAUAUUUUCAUUUGAAAUUUUAAAAUAUUUUAAAUGUGACAUUGUGUAGGUGUAUACAAUAGUCACUAGCAGUAAAUUUAGUAGAGCAUGUGGAAAUUUUUUUCCACAGGGAAUAGAUUGUAGAGUAUUUACAGAAUAUAUACUACAUACUCUAUUCUCAGUUGAUUUUUUUUCAAGAGAGUGGAUUAUUUGGUUUUGAAAUUCUACAGGGGUUACUUAUUUAUUAAAUUGUUUAUUCAAUUUUAUUUAUUUAUUUAUUUAUUUAUUUAUUAAAUUGUGACUAUUUUUACUUUGCUGUUGCUUUAAGGUGCAAUGUCCACAACCUUUGAAGUCUUUGCACAACCCUACCUCUUAUUUCUCACCCCCACCUGUCUCUCAACUCUGCUUUUUCUUGAUUGGCUCUUUAAUUUUUCUGUUACAGUAUCAAAAUCAACUUGAGAUUCCCUAUUUUGGGCCCAAAGAGUGGAUGUGGAUAUAAUUUCAUGAUUUAAACCCUGGGUUUGAAGAUCUUGAUGCAAAUGAAAAGGACAUAAUCCCAGGCUACUCCUAGUGUAAAGGAAGGUUUACAGGAUUGAAGAGUGUCUCUCAUUCAUUCAACAUAUAGUUACUGAGUAUCAAGUAUGUUCCAGAGGGUAAAGCCCUGAAUGAAAUGAAGUCUUGCUUCUGCAGAGCACACAUUCUGAUUGGAUGAGACAAGUAAAUAAUGCACCAACAAAUUAGAGAAUAUCUGAUGGUGUUAUAAAAGGGAUAAAAAAGUCAAGGUAGAGCUCAGCAGGAAGGGGAUAUUUCAAGUACUAAGGACUCCUGUAAGAAGGCAACAUGAAUUGAGACCUUACAACUUUAGAUAACUUCAGGUAAAUUACUUAACUUUACUGAAUCCCUGGAGGGUAAAAUUAGGUUAAAAUUAUCCAACUUUUAGUUUAUUAUAAGAACAAAGGAGAUGGAAAAAAAUAUAUAAAGUGGUCCCACAAAUAGUAGCUGUUAUUACUGUCGUUGACAAAAUACUAUGUCAGUUAGGGUCUGAGGAAGAAACGGACAACACACUCCUAUUAGGAUAAUCUGAGUAGAGUCUCACAGAGGCAGAAUUUACAAACUGUGAGUAAGGUGUGGGGAAACGAGAAGAGAAGUCCAGUGUCUGGGGUCUAGUAAGAGCAAACAUGAUCAUCAACUCUAGACCCACAGGAGGCAACAGAGCAUGGUUAGUCACUCAGAGGCAGAGAGGGCUGUGUGGAGCAGGCAGCCAGAAUGAGCUAAAACUUCAGUUUCAGGACCCUGAGAUGUAUAAGUGUCUAAUUACAUGCAGGAUUAGGUUAGGAAUUGUUGGGGAGAAUUACAAAGGUGUGCUAGCUAUUGGAGUCUGCCACCGAUUUAAGCUCACACUCAAGAAUGGGAAAUGGCAUGCACCUGAGAUCUGAUUGUGAUGUAGACAAUAAUAAAGCCAUCAAAGGAGUUCAUAGGGAGACCCAAGGAGAUCAGGGGCUAGACUGCUUCCAGUCAGCACAUCAGAGGAAAUGUCAGAGAAGAGGUGGCUGUGCUUGCCCUGGACCUUAAAGGAGGGACAGGUUUCACACAUGUAGCAGUGAAGACAAUGGCAAAACCCUACAUAUGCAGGCAAUAGGAAGUUUGGUUUGAUAGGAGCCCCGGGCAUAAAAAGGGGAUUUAGAUUUAUCAUUUCUGUGACUCUGUCGAAUCUUCACCCUCUUGCCCUUCUCCUUUCCUCUUUCAACCUACACCUACUCGUUCUGUCUUCCAUUGACGUUCUCAUUUUCCUUAUGAGAAAGCUUUGGGUGGAAGGGCAGAUGGGAGUGAAGGGGGGCUCCAUGCAGUAUCAGAUGGCAGGCUAUGCCUGGAUUUCCCAGGCUCCAGCUCAGUCCUAGUCCAGACUUCCCAUCACUUGACAGGAUGGGAAAUAAUCGGGACAAGAUACAAAACAGCCCCAGAAUGAAGGCAAUUUACUUUAUCUCUUUAACCCAAUUCCUCUGCUUCUCUCCCCAUUUUCCAAGAACCACAAUCAGAAAACUUGGGAGAACAGAAGGGAAACAGAUUUGAGAGAGAAUGUUAGCCUGUCCUUUGUCCCAAGUCUGCCACUGACACUUUCAGGGAAAACAUUUUCAUGUCACAGCCCCACCAAUGUGGACAACCAGGUCAGUACUUGGGUCACAUGCUUUCUCAUGGGUCACAGGGCAGCAGCAUUUUCUAACAUGCUCUACAAUCACCCAGACUAGAGGUUCUUCCUGUCACAGGACAGUGCUGCCCAAGGAAAGACAGAUAAGCUCUCCUGAAUCUACCUUUAUUCACUUUCAUCCCGCCCUCCUCCUACCCUUCCUCCUCCUUUUCCUCCUCUUCCUCCCCCUCCUCCUCCUUCUGGUUUGUUUCUUCAUUCACCAUGGAGGUCCAAUUAAAGCUCAAUGUCUUCCCACUGGUUUCUCUAGGUACUUUCACAAUGCUCAGCAGUAGGCACUCACCAAAUGUAUAUUGAAUAAAGGAAUGUUUGCAAAAGGGUAUCUAGGUUGAAGAACCAUCAUAAUUACCACACUGUGUCCACUUUAAUUGUCAUUUAUUAUCUUUGUUAUUUUCUCCAGUAAGCCUCAUCCGGAUUGGGAAAAGAAACAAUACUUUGUUCAUCUUUGAAUCUCUAGGAACUAGAUGACUAUCUAUGGCUCACAAUAGGCCCUCAAAGCAUACUUGUGUGAAUGAAUGAAUAACUAAAUUAAUGAAUGAACAAUCCUGGCUUCCAAGCAUGAUUUAGAGAAAUAACGGGAGAUGAUAAGUUCCCAUCGUUGAGGCCAUUUUGGCAAAGGCCUUGUAUACAAGACUAAGGAAGUUGGGAUUUAUUUAUUUUUUUUUUUUGCUACAGGCAACGAUGGAAGCUUUUUUAAGCAAUAAGGGAGUAAUUUAGUGACCAAGGCCGUUUAGAAAAAUCAUUCUGAUGGUGAUGUAAAAGAUCAAUUGCUGUGGAGCAACCUCCAAGCUACUGUUGAUUUCCAAAUGUGACAAUGGAAAUUUCAGUGAACAAAGGACUUUUUAGUUUAACAGAUGUGGCUGCCUUGACUCUAUUGUCUAUUAAUGGAAAUAAAAGCACUUUACCCACCUUUCAAGUAAUGGAAAUAAAUAUACUUUAUUCGCCUUACAUGGUCGAAUGGGGUUGUAUAGUUGUGGAAGACAACAUGUCCUCAUGGAAAAAAUGUUAACUAAAUAUGUUCAAUUAUUUAUGAUUUCAGCAAAAUUAUAAGGUUAGGAGGGACUUCUAAAUCCUUAAUGGCAACAAGGGUCUCCUCAAACUAAUGGAGAGAAAUGCUCCUCUUCUCACUAUUUGACAUUCAUCUGGGAAAGAGAAUUCUUUGAUUCUUGUGGCUCUUUCAAGAGCUGGACAGCAAGUUGCACGAUGUCAUCACUAAGAUUUGAAAGCUUAGACUUGGAGCAGCUGAUUGUUUUGUUUCUGCCAUCUGAGUAGCUUGCACCUGAUGGUCAUACCUUCACAUAGUUUUGGUCAGUCACUUGGGAUUUUCUCAGAGCGACCUGAAAUAUUUUGGGCUCUAGCUGAGAAAAGCUCAGAUCCAUCUACUUGUGCUUUCUGUGCCUCUAACACCACACCCAACACUCUUUUGUUAACAUAUCAUCAUAAAUACUGAUUACUCACUAUGAUAUGUUAUACACGGCUAUAAAUGUUUUACUGCUCCUUCUGUCAAGUAGUGGAGUCUGUCUCCCCUACUUCCCGAGUCUCAAGUGGCCUCAUGACUUGCUUUGACCAAAAGGAAGUGGCAGACGUGAUUUUGUGCGAUUUUCAAAAGAGAUCUUAGAGCUUCCACUCUCACUCUCUUGGACCUGUACAUCUUGAGGCAAGCCCAGGCUAGCCUCUUUGAAGAUAAAGAACCUGUGGGGUGAGAGCAAAACAAAGACCAUGUGAUAAUUGAGGCGAGGCCAUCCCAGACAUACCAGCUGAGCCCAAGGUAUGUGAAGUAAUCAAGGACCAGCCAGUAUCACAGUCAGCUCUACCAACUGACUGCAAAUACGUGAGUGAGCCCCGCUCACCCCAUGUGGAGCAGAGGUGAGCUGUCCUCGCUGAGCCCGACUGCCAACCUACAGAAUUGUGAGAAAUAAAUGGUUAUUGUUGUCAGCCAGGAAAUUUUGGAGUAUUGUGGCAGACAGAAUUCUAAAGAUGCCCUCCUGCCAAGAUUCUCCUUCUCUUGUUAUUCAAUCAAAUACUAAAGUAGGGACUGCUGUGAACAGAGUUUUCAAUAUAAUUAAAGCCCCAAGUCAGCUGACCUGGUGAUAUGGCCUUGACAUGAUCAUUUAAAACGCUGAAAUGAACACUUUAAAAGCAGUGAGUUUUUUUCUGACUUGUUACAGAAGGGUACAUCAAAAAGAUUCAAAGAAUGAGAAGGAGUUGUACCUUUGCUGGUUCACAGAUAGAAGGGGCCACGUGACAAGAAAUAUAGGAGCCUCUAGAAGCUCCGAGCAGAGUCAGCUGCUGCCUAACAAGAGAAGUGGGAUCUCAGUCAGACAACCACAAGAAAUGGAAUCCUACAGAGCCUAAAAAGAGUCAAAAGCAGAUUCUUGUCCAGAACAUCCACAUAAGAGCCUAGUUUAGCCAAGACCUUGAUUUCAGCCUUGUGAGACCCUGAGCGGAGAACCCAGUCAA